rnacentral:rRNA from 1 species
UACGAAGGGGGCUAGCGUUGCUCGGAAUUACUGGGCGUAAAGGGCGCGUAGGCGGACAGUUAAGUCAGAGGUGAAAGCCCAGGGCUCAACCCUGGAAUUGCCUUUGAUACUGGCUGUCUUGAGUAUGGGAGAGGUGAGUGGAACUCCGAGUGUAGAGGUGAAAUUCGUAGAUAUUCGGAAGAACACCAGUGGCGAAGGCGACUCACUGGCCCAUUACUGACGCUGAGGCGCGAAAGCGUGGGGGAGCAAACAGGGAUUAAGAAAACC